rnacentral:rRNA from 1 species
UACGAAGGGGGCUAGCGUUGCUCGGAAUCACUGGGCGUAAAGCGCACGUAGGCGGCUUUUUAAGUCAGGGGUGAAAUCCUGGAGCUCAACUCCAGAACUGCCUUUGAUACUGGGAAUCUCGAGUCCGGAAGAGGUGAGUGGAACUGCGAGUGUAGAGGUGAAAUUCGUAGAUAUUCGCAAGAACACCAGUGGCGAAGGCGGCUCGCUGGUCCGGUACUGACGCUGAGGUGCGAAAGCGUGGGGAGCAAACAGG